GUCGUGGCGAGGUUAAAAACCGCGCCACU
rnacentral:snRNA from 1 species